UACGAACGCUGGCGGCGUGCUUAACACAUGCAAGUCGAACGGAAAGGCCCUGCUUUUGUGGGGUGCUCGAUUGGCGAACGGGUGAGUAACACGUGAGGAACCUGCCCUUAACUUUGGGAUAACUUCAGGGAACAGGGGCGAAUACCGGAUAUGAUCUCCUGCUGCACAUGGGUGGUUGGUAAAUGUCGGCUGUGGGGGCUGGACUCGCUGGUUAUCAGCUGGAUGGGGGGGUAGGUGAUUACAAAGGGUUUGACGGCUAGCCUGCAUGGGAGGGUGACCGGCCACAUUGGGCCUGCGAUACGGAGCAGUAUCGUAUGGGACGCAGUAGUGGGGAGUCUUGCACAAUGGGGCGAAGUCUGAUGCAGCGGUGUCGCGUGCGGGAUGCCGGGCUUUGGGUUGUGAACCAAUUUGGAAUGUGACGAAGCGUGAGUGACGGUAAUGGGUCAAGAAGCAACGGCUAACUACGUG
rnacentral:rRNA from 1 species